GACGAACGCUGGCGGCAUGCCUAAUACAUGCAAGUCGAGCGAACAGAUGAAGUGCUUGCACUUCUGACGUUAGCGGCGAACGGGUGAGUAACACGUAAGGAAUCUACCUAUAAGCGGGGGAUAACAUUCGGAAACGGGUGCUAAUACCGCAUAAUAUCUUCUUCCGCAUGGAAGAAGAUUGAAAGACGGCUCUGCUGUCACUUAUAGAUGACCUUGCGGUGCAUUAGUUAGUUGGUGGGGUAACGGCCUACCAAGACGAUGAUGCAUAGCCGACCUGGGAGGGUGUUCGGCCACAUUGGGACUGAGACACGGCCCAAACUCCUACGGGAGGCAGCAGUAGGGAAUCUUCCGCAAUGGGCGAAAGCCUGACGGAGCAAUGCCGCGUGAGUGAAGAAGGCCUUCGGGUCGUAAAACUCUGUUAUAAGAGAAGAACAAAUUGUAGAGUAACUGCUACAGUCUUGACGGUAUCUUAUCAGAAAGCCACGGCUAACUACGUGCCAGCCGCCGCAGUAA
rnacentral:rRNA from 1 species